GAUGAACGCUAGCGGCAGGCCUAAUACAUGCAAGUCGAACGGUGUCUUCGGACAUAGUGGCGCACGGGUGCGUAACACGUAUGCAACCUACCUUACAUUGGGGGAUAGCCUUUCGAAAGGGAGAUUAAUACCGCAUAAGACAGUAGCUGGGCAUCCAGCAGCUGUUAAAGAUUUAUCGAUGUAAGCUGGGCAUGCGUCCAAUUAGCUAGUUGGUGAGGUAACGGCUCACCAAGGCAAUGAUUGGUAGGGGAACUGAGAGGUCAAUCCCCCACACUGGCACUGAGAGACGGGCCAGACUCCUACGGGGGGCAGCAGUAGGGAAUAUUGGGCAAUGGACGCAAGUCUGACCCAGCCAUGCCGCGUGCAGGAUGAAGGCGUUAUGCGUUGUAAACUGCUUUUAUACAGGAAGAAACGACUCUUGCGAGAGGCAUUGACGGUACUGUAUGAAUAAGCACCGGCUAACUCCGUGCCAGCCGCCGCCGUAAGAC
rnacentral:rRNA from 1 species